AUACGUAGGGGGCGAGCGUUGUCCGGAAUGAUUGGGCGUAAAGGGCGCGUAGGCGGCGCGGUAAGUCUGGAGUGAAAGUCCUGCUUUCAAGGUGGGAAUUGCUUUGGAUACUGCCGCGCUUGAGUGCAGGAGAGGUUAUCGGAAUUCCCGGUGUAGCGGUGAAAUGCGUAGAGAUCGGGAGGAACACCAGUGGCGAAGGCGGGUAACUGGACUGCAACGGACGCUGAGGCGCGAAAGUGUGGGGAGCAAACAGGAUUAGAUACCCUGGUAGUCCACACUGUAAACGAUGAAUGCUAGGUGUAAGAGGUAUCGACCCCUUUUGUGCCGGAGUCAACACAAUAAGCAUUCCGCCUGGGGAGUACGGCCGCAAGGUUGAAACUCAAAUGAAUUGACGGGG
rnacentral:rRNA from 1 species